rnacentral:rRNA from 1 species
CCUACGGGGGGCACCAGUGGGGAAUAUUGCACAAUGGGCGCAAGCCUGACGCAGCCAUGCCGCGUGUAUGAAGAAGGCCUUCGGGUUGUAAAGUACUUUCAGCGGGGAGGAAGGCGAUAUGGUUAAUAACCUUGUCGAUUGACGUUACCCGCAGAAGAAGCACCGGCUAACUCCGUGCCAGCAGCCGCGGUAAUACGGAGGGUGCAAGCGUUAAUCGGAAUUACUGGGCGUAAAGCGCACGCAGGCGGUCUGUCAAGUCGGAUGUGAAAUCCCCGGGCUCAACCUGGGAACUGCAUUCGAAACUGGCAGGCUAGAGUCUUGUAGAGGGGGGUAGAAUUCCAGGUGUAGCGGUGAAAUGCGUAGAGAUCUGAAGGAAUACCGGUGGCGAAGGCGGCCCCCUGGACAGAUACUGACACUCAGAUGCGAAAGCGUGGGGAGCAAACAGGAUUAGAUACCCGUGUAGUC